rnacentral:rRNA from 1 species
UACGAAGGGGGCGAGCGUUGUUCGGAAUUACUGGGCGUAAAGGGCGUGUAGGCGGUUUGUUAAGUCUGGCGUGAAAGCUCUCGGCUAAACCGGGAGAGGUCGUUGGAUACUGGCAAACUAGAGGACGGUAGAGGCGUGUGGAAUUCCGGGUGUAGUGGUGAAAUGCGUAGAUAUCGGGAGGAACACCAGUGGCGAAGGCGACUACCUGGCCUGUUUCUUGACGCUGAGGCGCGAAAGCUAGGGGAGCAAACGGG